rnacentral:rRNA from 1 species
UGAGCUCGAUGAGUAGGGCGGGACACGUGAUAUCCUGUCUGAAGAUGGGGGGACCAUCCUCCAAGGCUAAAUACUCCUGACUGACCGAUAGUGAACCAGUACCGUGAGGGAAAGGCGAAAAGAACCCCGGCGAGGGGAGUGAAACAGAACCUGAAACCGUGUACGUACAAGCAGUGGGAGCCUUCGUAAGAGGGUGACUGCGUACCUUUUGUAUAAUGGGUCAGCGACUUAUAUUCUGUAGCAAGGUUAACCGUAUAGGGGAGCCGAAGGGAAACCGAGUCUUAAUUGGGCGUUAAGUUGCAGGGUAUAGACCCGAAACCCGGUGAUCUAGCCAUGGGCAGGUUGAAGGUUGGGUAACACUAACUGGAGGACCGAACCGACUAAUGUUGAAAAAUUAGCGGAUGACCUGUGGCUGGGGGUGAAAGGCCAAUCAAACCGGGAGAUAGCUGGUUCUCCCCGAAAGCUAUUUAGGUAGCGCCUCGUGAACUCAUCUCCGGGGGUAGAGCACUGUUUCGGCUAGGGGGCCAUCCCGGCUUACCAACCCGAUGCAAACUGCGAAUACCGGAGAAUGUUAUCACGGGAGACACACGGCGGGUGCUAACGUCCGUCGUGAAGAGGGAAACAACCCAGACCGCCAGCUAAGGUCCCAAAGUCAUGGUUAAGUGGGAAACGAUGUGGGAAGGCCCAGACAGCCAGGAUGUUGGCUUAGAAGCAGCCAUCAUUUAAAGAAAGCGUAAUAGCUCACUGGUCGAGUCGGCCUGCGCGGAAGAUGUAACGGGGCUAAACCAUGCACCGAAGCUGCGGCAGCGACACUAUGUGUUGUUGGGUAGGGGAGCGUUCUGUAAGCCUGCGAAGGUGUGCUGUGAGGCAUGCUGGAGGUAUCAGAAGUGCGAAUGCUGACAUAAGUAACGAUAAAGCGGGUGAAAAGCCCGCUCGCCGGAAGACCAAGGGUUCCUGUCCAACGUUAAUCGGGGCAGGGUGAGUCGACCCCUAAGGCGAGGCCGAAAGGCGUAGUCGAUGGGAAACAGGUUAAUAUUCCUGUACUUGGUGUUACUGCGAAGGGGGGACGGAGAAGGCUAUGUCGGCCGGGCGACGGUUGUCCCGGUUUAAGCGUGUAGGCUGACUUUCCAGGCAAAUCCGGAAGGUUAAGGCUGAGGCGUGAUGACGAGGCACCACGGUGCUGAAGUGACAAAUGCCCUGCUUCCAGGAAAAGCCUCUAAGCAUCAGGUAACAUCAAAUCGUACCCCAAACCGACACAGGUGGUCAGGUAGAGAAUACCAAGGCGCUUGAGAGAACUCGGGUGAAGGAACUAGGCAAAAUGGUGCCGUAACUUCGGGAGAAGGCACGCUGACAUGUAGGUGAAGCCCCUGCGGGUGGAGCUGAAGUCAGUCGAAGAUACCAGCUGGCUGCAACUGUUUAUUAAAAACACAGCACUGUGCAAACACGAAAGUGGACGUAUACGGUGUGACGCCUGCCCGGUGCCGGAAGGUUAAUUGAUGGGGUUAUCGCAAGAGAAGCUCCUGAUCGAAGCCCCGGUAAACGGCGGCCGUAACUAUAACGGUCCUAAGGUAGCGAAAUUCCUUGUCGGGUAAGUUCCGACCUGCACGAAUGGCGUAAUGAUGGCCAGGCUGUCUCCACCCGAGACUCAGUGAAAUUGAACUCGCUGUGAAGAUGCAGUGUACCCGCGGCAAGACGGAAAGACCCCGUGAACCUUUACUACAGCUUGACACUGAACAUUGAGCCUUGAUGUGUAGGAUAGGUGGGAGGCUUUGAAGCGUGGACGCCAGUCUGCGUGGAGCCGACCUUGAAAUACCACCCUUUAAUGUUUGAUGUUCUAACCUGGCGCCGUGAUCCGGCGUGGGGACAGUGUCUGGUGGGUAGUUUGACUGGGGCGGUCUCCUCCCAAAGUGUAACGGAGGAGCACGAAGGUCAGCUAAUCCUGGUCGGACAUCAGGAGGUUAGUGCAAUGGCAUAAGCUGGCUUGACUGCGAGAGUGACGGCUCGAGCAGGUGCGAAAGCAGGUCAUAGUGAUCCGGUGGUUCUGUAUGGAAGGGCCAUCGCUCAACGGAUAAAAGGUACUCCGGGGAUAACAGGCUGAUACCGCCCAAGAGUUCAUAUCGACGGCGGUGUUUGGCACCUCGAUGUCGGCUCAUCACAUCCUGGGGCUGAAGUAGGUCCCAAGGGUAUGGCUGUUCGCCAUUUAAAGUGGUACGCGAGCUGGGUUUAGAACGUCGUGAGACAGUUCGGUCCCUAUCUGCCGUGGGCGCUGGAGAAUUGAGGGGGGCUGCUCCCAGUACGAGAGGACCGGAGUGGACGCAUCACUGGUGUUCGGGUUGUCAUGCCAAUGGCACUGCCCGGUAGCUAAAUGCGGAAGAGAUAAGUGCUGAAAGCAUCUAAGCACGAAACUUGCCCCGAGAUGAGUUCU